rnacentral:rRNA from 1 species
GUCUGCAGCCAUGCCACCCUGAACAAGCCCAAUCUCGUCUGAUCUUGGAAGCUAAGCAGGGUCAGGCCUGGUUAGUACUUGGAUGGGAGAUCACCUAGGAAAACCAUGUGCUGUAGGUG